UGACAGAGCACAUCAUGCCACACUGGAGCAAAUCAGGAGCCCAUUGCAAGGGCUGGGCGUGAACUUCCUGCAGAGGUUUGGAUCAUGCCGGUCCUGUCUUGAAACAUGGUGUAUGCUGCGUUUGUGAUGGCUACACUUUGAACUGUCAGCCUGAGUGGAUGCGGGAGCAGCCAGGCCCCCAGGAACGCACAGCUCUAGCCAUGUCUGCUGUGGCCAUUCAAGAGCUCAUUAGAUCACAAGGGCUCUGAUCUAAUGAAUCUGAUUGGUCACUGAUGAACUCAUAACAGCAUUAUGGAGAGAUGGUAAGAGGUACAGGGAUCUUCCUGACUUGCAAACUGAGACAGCCUCAUUCCAUCAGAGCCUCGAAAGCUGCAGUGUCCACCUCCUGAGCCUUCCUGCCACCACGGUCCAACUCUCGAAGCUUCCUGCUGUGGCAACCAUUUCUAAUGUGCCAGCUUUUCUGGCCUGGUCACAGCAUCCAUAUCGCUCACUAGAUAGGGACCACAGGGACUUGGACAUGCUCAAGAGGAGCAGCUGCACCUUCUUGAAUCACAAUCCAAGGCCUCUCCCAAUGGCAAGCCAAGACUUCAAACAGAGGAUCUCUCUGGGGCCAUCUGGAGCUAGAAGCUAGAGACAGAAUUUAUUCCUGGAGACCCAGAGAACCAGGCCAGGCCAAGAGUUGCAAGGACACAUCAGCGCAAUCCCAGAGUCUCUCACUGAGGCAUGGAAUUCACCAGUUAGUCAAGACUGACUGCCACUGACCUCUGAAGAACAUCCCUGCUCUCUCUGACAAGCUCUGGGGUCUUAAGUGCCUGUCACCAUGCCUGCCUUCUCACGUGGGUACAGGGAUUGGAACCUGGGUUAUCAUUCCUACAUGGCAAGCACUUCACCAACUGAGUAUUCCCCUCAGUGCCUUCCAAGGCUUUGAACGUGACAUUUCAGGAAAACAUUUAUUGAGUAAUCCUCAUCAGGCUGGGCACAGAUCUCUUGACAAAGUAAGAAUGCUAAUAACAUUAUUUGGGACUCCAGCUUUGACGUUUCCAACAAUUUCUGGUGCUCGGCUUAACAUACUGAAAAUACUCUCCUACUUCCAACAGAAGUGACAGGCUUUGGGGUCUGGAAGAUGAGGGAACAGCUGGCUGGGUGAAUAGUCAAGAUUGAAAAUCUGCCGUGACUCUUGCAAAGCAUUUUUACAGUAAGACUCUAAAAAAAAAACUAAAGAUGUUUAUAGCUUGGGGUCCAGUAAUUCCACUCUUGAGAAUCAAGCAUGAAGAAAUAAGUGCCAUGCAUGAAGAGCUUAUGCACAAAGAUACGCGCAUCGUAACAAUGAGUCAAUCAAAACCAACUAAAUAGCCAGUGGUGCUGAGAAGCAAGAGCUGAUGCUAGUCGUUAGCUUCAACCCUCUCAGGAAUAAUUGUGGAAACCUGAGCAUCUAGGCUUCCUGCAUUCAAAAAUGGAAGCUAGGUGCAUGUGCUUUGAAGUGCUGUCCCAAUAAAAUUAUUGUCAGAGUGUAAUAAUGUAAACGACACUUGCGAUAUCAUAGUAGCUUUUCAUGUAUUGAGAAAAUGGUUCUAUCCUGGAGUGCUCCGAACAUGUCAUGUUCUCUAACAAAGAAUUAUGUGAAGUCUACUGUUGUGAAUCUUGGGGAAGUGGUUGAAGCUAGAUGUAAAAAUUGUAAAGAUAUUCGGAUAGGUGUGCAUAAUGAUGA
rnacentral:lncRNA from 1 species